rnacentral:lncRNA from 10 species
GUCACAAUGCCCAGUGUAGGCAGGGACAGGCAGGAGAGUCACAUUACCUGGGUGCUUGGCCCAGUGGUAUGUCACAAUCCCUUAUGUAGGGAGGGCACAGGUAGCAAAAGACUGUCACAUCAUCUAGUUGCUGGACUAGAGCUAUUGGUCUCUCGGUCGUUCAGGGAGAGGGUUAGGAUCUCCUUAGACAUCCAUGUAACAGAGCCCCAACUCAUCCGUGCUCAGAAGCAAAGGCCAGUGGAGACCAAAUAAGGCUUGAAAGCAUACUUUUGAUCAUCGUCCCUGUCGUCACAAUGGGGCGCCUGACACCAAGGAGACCCUGGAAACCCACUGAACUCAGGCCCUGCAGGGGUCAGGUGAACAUGUAGGAAGUCCAGGAGAAAAGUCAUCUGCCGUCUCCAGAAUGAACAGCAUUCCAGGAAGAACUCCCCCACACUCCAGGAAGAAGUCAUGAGCCCAGUGGGGAGGCAGGUCCAGCCUGCAACAACUUAGACAUAUGCGGUGCUCCAUAGCUCAUGCUUGUGUCCUGCAGGCAGGAGCACACAUCAGGGUCCGCAGUCUUUGUUCUGGGUGUGGAAUUAGUGCUUCAGCUGGUUCCCCAGGUGUCCCCAGAGGGGGAAAGGGUGGAAAAGGUAAGAAUCUUCAGCACAGCAGAUCGCCUUGCCCUGGCAGCGACCAGCCCUGCCCCUGAGGGGCACCAGCAGCCCCCAACUAGAGGCAGUCAUGUCAGGCCUCCUCCCUACAG